UUCUUCUACGGAAGAACAAUUAU
rnacentral:snRNA from 1 species